rnacentral:rRNA from 1 species
GAUGAACGCUGGCGGCGUGCCUAAUACAUGCAAGUCGAGCGAACGGACGAGAAGCUUGCUUCUCUGAUGUUAGCGGCGGACGGGUGAGUAACACGUGGAUAACCUACCUAUAAGACUGGGAUAACUUCGGGAAACCGGAGCUAAUACCGGAUAAUAUUUUGAACCGCAUGGUUCAAAAGUGAAAGACGGUCUUGCUGUCACUUAUAGAUGGAUCCGCGCUGCAUUAGCUAGUUGGUAAGGUAACGGCUUACCAAGGCAACGAUGCAUAGCCGACCUGAGAGGGUGAUCGGCCACACUGGAACUGAGACACGGUCCAGACUCCUACGGGAGGUAGCAGUAGGGAAUCUUCCGCAAUGGGCGAAAGCCUGACGGAGCAACGCCGCGUGAGUGAUGAAGGUCUUCGGAUCGUAAAACUCUGUUAUUAGGGAAGAACAUAUGUGUAAGUAACUGUGCACAUCUUGACGGUACCUAAUCAGAAAGCAACGGCUAACUACGUG